rnacentral:rRNA from 1 species
CAUAUCAAUAAGCGGAGGAAAAGAAACUAACAAGGAUUCCCCUAGUAACUGCGAGUGAAGCGGGAAAAGCUCAAAUUUAAAAUCUGGCAGUCUUUGGCUGUCCGAGUUGUAAUCUAGAGAAGUGUUAUCCGCGCUGGACCGUGUACAAGUCUCCUGGAAUGGAGCGUCAUAGAGGGUGAGAAUCCCGUCUUUGACACGGACUACCAGGGCUUUGCGAUGCGCUCUCAAAGAGUCGAGUUGUUUGGGAAUGCAGCUCAAAAUGGGUGGUAAAUUCCAUCUAAAGCUAAAUAUUGGCGAGAGACCGAUAGCGAACAAGUACCGUGAGGGAAAGAUGAAAAGAACUUUGGAAAGAGAGUUAAACAGUACGUGAAAUUGCUGAAAGGGAAACGCUUGAAGUCAGUCGCGUCGUCCAGGGAUCAACCUUGCUUUUGCUUGGUGCACUUUCUGGUUGACGGGUCAGCAUCAAUUUUGACUAUUGGAAAAAGAUCAAGGGAAUGUGGCAUCUUUGGAUGUGUUAUAGCCCUUGGUUGCAUACAAUGGUUGGGAUUGAGGAACUCAGCACGCCGCAAGGCCGGGUUUUUAACCACGUACGUGCUUAGGAUGUUGGCAUAAUGGCUUUAAUCGACCCGUCUUGAAACACGGACCAAGGAGUCUAACAUGCCUGCGAGUGUUUGGGUGGAAAACCCGAGCGCGCAAUGAAAGUGAAAGUUGAGAUCCCUGUCGUGGGGAGCAUCGACGCCCAGACCAGACCUUUUGUGACGGAUCUGCGGUAGAGCAUGUAUGUUGGGACCCGAAAGAUGGUGAACUAUGCCUGAAUAGGGUGAAGCCAGAGGAAACUCUGGUGGAGGCUCGUAGCGAUUCUGACGUGCAAAUCGAUCGUCAAAUUUGGGUAUAGGGGCGAAAGACUAAUCGAACCAUCUAGUAGCUGGU